rnacentral:rRNA from 1 species
UUAGAGUUGAUCCUGGCUCACGACGAGCUCUGGCGGCGCGCCUAACACAUGCAAGUCGAACGAGCGAGAGAGAGCUUGCUUUCUCGAGCGAGUGGCGAAUUGGGUGAGUAACGCGUGAGGAACCUGCCUCAAAGAGGGGGACAACAGUUGGAAACGACUGCUAAUACCGCAUAAGCCCACGACCCGGCAUCGGGUUGAGGGAAAAGGAGCAAUCCGCUUUGAGAUGGCCUCGCGCCCGAUUAGCUGGUUGGUGAGGUAACGGCCCACCAAGGCGACGAUCGGUAGCCGGACUGAGAGGUUGAACGGCCACAUUGGGACUGAGACACGGCCCAGACUCCUACGGGAGGCAGCAGUGGGGAAUAUUGCACAAUGGGGGAAACCCUGAUGCAGCGACGCCGCGUGGAGGAAGAAGGUCUUCGGAUUGUAACUCCUGUUGUUGAGGAAGAUAAUGACGGUACUCAACAAGGAAGUGACGGCUAACUACGUGCCAGCAGCCGCGGUAAAACGUAGGUCACAAGCGUUGUCCGGAAUUACUGGGUGUAAAGGGAGCGCAGGCGGGAAGACAAGUUGGAAGUGAAAUCUAUGGGCUCAACCCAUAAACUGCUUUCAAAACUGUUUUUCUUGAGUAGUGCACAGGUAGGCGGAAUUCCCGGUGUAACCGUGGAAUGCGUAGAUAUCGGGAGGAACACCAGUGGCGAAGGCGGCCUACUGGGCACCAACUGACGCUGAGGCUCGAAAGUGUGGGUAGCAGACAGGAUUAGAUACGUGGGUAGUCCACACCGUAAACGAUGAUUACUAGGUGUUGGAGGAUUGACCCCUUCAGGGCCGCAGUUAACACAAUAAGUAAUCCACCUGGGGAGUACGACCGCAAGGUUGAAACUCAAAGGAAUUGACGGGGGCCCGCACAAGCAGUGGAGUAUGUGGUUUAAUUCGACGCAACGCGAAGAACCUUACCAAGUCUUGACAUCCUGCGACGGACAUAGAAAUAUGUCUUUCCUUCGGGACGCAGAGACAGGUGGUGCAUGGUUGUCGUCAGCUCGUGUCGUGAGAUGUUGGGUUAAGUCCCGCAACGAGCGCAACCCUUACUGUCAGUUACUACGCAAGAGGACUCUGGCAGGACUGCCGUUGACAAAACGGAGGAAGGUGGGGAUGACGUCAAAUCAUCAUGCCCUUUAUGACUUGGGCUACACACGUACUACAAUGGCGUUAAACAAAGAGAAGCAAGACCGCGAGGUGGAGCAAAACUCAGAAACAACGUCCCAGUUCGGACUGCAGGCUGCAACUCGCCUGCACGAAGUCGGAAUUGCUAGUAAUCGUGGAUCAGCAUGCCACGGUGAAUACGUUCCCGGGC